AUGAAGUUCCACCUUCUCCUCCCUUGGAACCUACCACAGUUGGAUCUGCCUCAGAAGUGUGUAGUCUCGGUGUGUCCAGAAAGAGAAGCCCCAGCACAACUCCAAAUCUGAGAAGCGCAACUGCAAGUCUUUCUAUGAGUCCUGGGACUUCUUUGAGCAGGAGCAGCUCCAGCUUGGGAGAGGCUAUGUUUACUAGGCUGGUUACACUUCUUGAGGAGGUUAGAGAAACACAAAAACUACACGGACAGUUGUUGAGUACCUUGCUGAGACAGAAAUCUGCUUCACCACCGGUUGAACCACCUGAAGGAGCUGUUUUUCCAAUGUGUACAAUCAAUGAUGUACUGGGCAUGAAUGAGAAGCUGGGUGACUCAGACUUCAUGUCUGGAGUUGUUGCCAUGGUUGCAGAAAUUGGAGGAGCAUCCUUGGAUGACGCAAUACGACGGGCUAUGCGAUUCCUGAUGUCCCAUGAAUUAGCAGUCCAGUUCAACCUGUUUGGCCGACAUGGGAAACACCAGUUCCGGAACCUGCGUCUCUUUGAUGUUGUGUAUGGGGCACUUAAAAGAAAUGGUUCCAUCGUUGGACUCACACAUAAAGAUGUGGAAAAGGCACUCUUAAAGUGGUUCACUGGAGCCUGUGACAGGGGUGGGAAUAGUAGAGUUGGAGCAAGUAGGGA